rnacentral:lncRNA from 1 species
CAGCGCCGAUCCAUCCUCAACACCGACUCUAUUACGGGUCCGACCGACUUCGUCCGACCGACGGUGGACAACAUCGAUAGUGACUACCGAUCGUGUCCGACCGGAGUGGAUCGACCUAACGGGCCAACGUCGCCUCUUAUCACCUGAGAGCCGAUCUCCCGUGACCGACUUCCUAUCGGAUGGGACACCGCCGACUAACCAUC